CAUGAGACAAUUUCUUUCCUGAUACUCAUAUUUCCUUUCCAUUCAUGUUAUUUUAGGAUGAAUACUCCAUCAUGGGUUCAUUUAAUCAGUGACUCUCCCUUGCUUGCCCCUGUACUUCCCGAGGCUCCGUUCUUUGUGCUUUAUGAAACUUUCCUCAAACAGACCAGACCCUCUACUCCUGAGACACAGUGUACAUUAGCCGAGAGCUCAGAUUCUCAGAUUCAGUGAUCAGCCCCAAGAAGGCCAUGUAGUGCCAAUCCCCUCUUCAGUUGAUGCCAUCUUCCUUAGGAACCUUCAGAAGCCACAGCCAAUAAUAUGCUUAAGGUUGGCGGGUUGUCUGUGGGCGAGGACUGGCCUGCCUCUCAAGGUCUGUGAAAGCGAGGGAUCAUUGUCCAGGAUGGGUUGUAGAUCACUGAUGAUGCGUUGGAGAAGUUUAAGCUGAGGACUGUAGGUGAUGGCCAGUGGAGUUCUGUUGGCUUCUUUCUUGGGCUUGUCUUGCAGCAGGAGGCUUCUGGGUACAUGUCUGGCUCUGUUGAUUUGUUUCCUUAUUUCCUCAUGCGGGUAUCGUAGUUUUGAGAAUGCUUGGUGAAGAUCUUGUAGGUGUUGGUCUCUGUCUGAGAGGUUGGAGCAAACGCGGUUGUACCUCAGUGCUUGGCUGUAGAUGAUGGAUCGUGUGGUGUGUCCGGGAUGGAAGCUGGAGGCAUGAAGGUAGGCAUAGCGGUCGGUGGGUUUUCGGUAUAGGGUGGUGUUAAUGUGACCGUCACUUAUUUGUACUGUGGUGUCUAGGAAGUAGACUUCCCGUGUAGAUUGGUCCAGGCUGAGGUUGAUGGUGGGUUGGAAGCUAUUGAAAUUGUGGUGGAAUUCUUCCAGAGUCUCCUUCCCAUGGGUCCAGAUGAUGAAGAUGUCAUCAAUGUAGCGUAGG
rnacentral:lncRNA from 1 species